rnacentral:rRNA from 1 species
UGAGACACGGACCAGACUCCUCCGGGAGGCAGCAGUAAGGAAUAUUGGACAAUGGGCGCAAGCCUGAUCCAGCCAUGCCGCGUGCAGGAUGAAGGUGCUCUGCAUUGUAAACUGCUUUUGUUUGGGAAUAAACCCUUCUACGUGUAGAGGGCUGAAUGUACCAAAAGAAUAAGGGACGGCUAACUUCGUGCCAGCAGCCGCGGUAAUACGAAGGUCCCGAGCGUUAUCCGGAUUUAUUGGGUUUAAAGGGUGCGUAGGCGGGUUAUUAAGUCAGUGGUGAAAGCCUUCAGCUUAACUGAAGAAUUGCCAUUGAUACUGAUGAUCUUGAGUAUGAUUGAGGUGGGCGGAAUGUGUCAUGUAGCGGUGAAAUGCUUAGAUAUGACACAGAACACCGAUUGCGAAGGCAGCUCACUAAGCCAUAACUGACGCUGAUGCACGAAAGCGUGGGGAGCAAACAGGAUUAGAUACCCUGGUAGUCCACGCCCUAAACGAUGAUCACUCGAUGUGUGCGAUAUACUGUACGCGUCUGAGCGAAAGCAUUAAGUGAUCCACCUGGGGAGUACGACCGCAAGGUUGAAACUCAAAGGAAUUGACG